rnacentral:lncRNA from 1 species
ACCAUGAGUUCACAUGUGACAUAAGUUUGAGAACUCCUUGUUGAUCGCGUUCAGUGAACUCAUUCUCUAUUGAGCACCUACGUACUUGUCUUUGAAGGAAAUUUUGUGAAAAACAUGUUCAUUUAAGCAACAUCUAUAGCAUGCAAUUAACAACUAAAAGGCGGAAUCAUGCUUGUAUGCACUUAAAAACAAAACAUUAACCAUGAAAUUCAAAGCCUAGUAGAUUGGUGAACCUUGACUCAACUUAAAACAACAUUUGUUAGUUGAGAAAUUAUACCUUUGUAGAUUCCUCUUUGCAUAAGCAAAGGCUAAUCACCCAAAGAGGGGGCCUUCAUUCCUUGCAUCUUAGAUCUAUGGAUUUGGAUGGAUGAAAUGGUUUUCCAAGUUCCCAAAAUUGAGAACCUCUAAGUCUCUUCACCAAGGUUAGAUUGGAGAAGAAAUGAGUGACCUUGGAGUAGUAGGAUUGCUAGCUAAACCCUCCAAGGAGCCCGGC